ACCUGCUGUCCUUACCCGGUUUGGCCUACAUGUGACUCCAGCAAUGUGGUUGACUCUUAACUUCCCUCUGAAAUGGCCCAGCAAGUCAAGGACAAUUAGGGAUGGGAAACAACUACUGGCCUUGGAAGUGACGCCACUUCCCAUUAAAUAAUAAUGGAAGAGCAAAGUGCUGUUUUGACUGCUGCUGUGGGAUAUCCUUUUUAGUAUUUGCAGUUGACUCCUUAACUCCAGAGAUAGGGGAAGAGCACAUCAGACUGCCUUGGUGACUGCAUCUUCACGGGAUUCACCUCUUUAAGAAGCUGCUGGUGAAUGGCGUGGCUGUCAAACACCUCAAUAAAUAGUGGGUCACACUGACAAAUGUUUCCCUACUGGACUGUGGGUUGUGAUGCUUCCAAACUCUGAAAAGAUUAACCUAAAACCAGGAGAGAAUGAGAGUUGGUGUUUGAAUGAGAGGGCUUUGUACCCCAGAAGCCUAUCACAAUCUUGUGUCUUUGAGGUGGAGAAGAAGAAUGUGCUAAUAUGUGGUGUCUUAAACCUUUCUCAUGUGUAACGUAUCUCACAUGCAUUGUAUCACACUGAAGUGCAAUGAAUAUUAUGUUGUAUGUUGAGAAAAGACUUUUGGGAAAAUCCUUCUCUGACCCAGGCACCUUGCAGUAAUUACUCAUCAGUUCACUGGCAGUUCACAGUUGCUUGUGAUACUAAAUGCACAUUGUUUCAGGAGCACGUAUUUUGUUCAGUAACUGUCAUUUGGAAGGAAUAUGCUAGAAGUUUCUUGGCUCAUGCACCUCACAUUUGUAUCUGUUCAGGUAUUGGCAAUUUAAUUGAGUCAGUUUCACUGAGGAUGGAGAGUGGUGUAGCAGUGCUUUGAGGCAAUAAAAUUGACUAGUUCACU